rnacentral:rRNA from 1 species
AUUGAACGCUGGCGGCAGGCCUAACACAUGCAAGUCGAGCGGAGCGGCGGACGGGUGAGUAAUGCUUAGGAAUCUGCCUGGUAGUGGGGGAUAACGUCCGGAAACGGGCGCUAAUACCGCAUACUAUCAGAUGAGCCUAGGUCGGAUUAGCUAGUUGGUGGGGUAAAGGCCUACCAAGGCGACGAUCCGUACCUGGUCUGAGAGGAUGAUCAGUCACACGGGAACUGAGACACGGUCCAGACUCCUACGGGAGGCAGCAGUGGGGAAUAUUGCACAAUGGGCGAAAGCCUGAUCCAGCCAUGCCGCUUGUAUGAAGAAGGUCUUCGGAUUGUAAAGCACUUUAAGUUGGGAGGCGUUACCAACAGAAGAAGCACCGGCUAACUUCGUGCCAGCAGCCGCGGUAAUUC